rnacentral:ncRNA from 2 species
UACGGAGGGUGCAAGCGUUGCUCGGAAUUAUUGGGCGUAAAGGGCAGGUAGGUGGUCUCAUUUGUCUGGGGUGAAAGCCUUGAGCUUAACUCAAGAAGUGCCCCAGAAACGGUGAGACUAGAGUUCUGGAGAGGGUCGUGGAAUUCCCGGUGUAGCGGUGAAAUGCGUAGAGAUCGGGAGGAACACCAGAGGCGAAAGCGGCGACCUGGACAGAUACUGACACUCAACUGCGAAAGCGUGGGGAGCAAACAGG